UGCGUAGGCGGGGCGGUAAGUCAGUGGUGAAAUCCUGCAGCUUAACUGUAGAAUUGCCAUUGAUACUGCCGUCCUUGAGUGCGCUCGACGUGGGCGGAAUGUGCCGUGUAGCGGUGAAAUGCUUAGAUAUGGCACAGAACACCGAUAGUGAAGACAGCUCACGAGGGCGUUACUGACGCUGAGGCACGAAAGCGUGGGGAUCGAACA
rnacentral:rRNA from 1 species